UGGGGAAUAUUGGACAAUGGGCGCAAGCCUGAUCCAGCCAUGCCGCGUGAGUGAUGAAGGCCCUAGGGUUGUAAAGCUCUUUCACCGGUGAAGAUAAUGACGGUAACCGGAGAAGAAGCCCCGGCUAACUUCGUGCCAGCAGCCGCGGUAAUACGAAGGGGGCUAGCGUUGGUCGGAUUUACUGGGCGUAAAGCGCACGUAGGCGGACUUGUAAGUCAGGGGUGAAAUCCCGGGGCUCAACCCCGGAACUGCCUUUGAUACUGGAAGUCUUGAGUAUGGUAGAGGUGAGUGGAAUUCCGAGUGUAGAGGUGAAAUUCGUAGAUAUUCGGAGGAACACCAGUGGGGAAGGCGGCUCACUGGACCAUUACUGACGCUGAGGUGCGAAAGGGUGGGGAGCAAACAGG
rnacentral:rRNA from 1 species